rnacentral:rRNA from 1 species
UACAGAGGGUGUGAGCGUUGUCCGGAAUCACUGGGCGUAAAGGGCGCGUAGGUGGCGCUCCAAGUCUGUGGUGAAAGCUCGACGCUCAACGUCGAGUCGGCCAUAGAGACUGGAGGGCUCGAGCACUGUAGGGGCAGAUGGAAUUCCGGGUGUAGCGGUGGAAUGCGUAGAGAUCCGGAAGAACACCGGUGGCGAAGGCGGCGCUCUGGACCGAGACUGACGCUGAGGCGCGAAAGCGUGGGGAGCAAACAGG